GUUUUGAAGCCUGUGGACCUUAAUGGUGUCAUCAAACUUUUUGAAGAGACUGCUAAAGAAGGCUUAGAAGAAAAGCAACUUAAAUCUGUCAAGAAACUGGUACAGUGUUAUCAGAAUGAACUUCCCUUAAGGGAUUUAGUACAGACAUUUGAAAUUCUGAAUCUGUGUGCAGUAAAAAUUGAAAACCAGCCGCAUUUUGUAGAAUCUGCAUAUGAUAUCAUAAAAUAGUGUGGCUUGCCAUUUUUGAAAAAGAAAGUAUCGGAUGAAAUAACUUAUGCUGGAGAUACUGCUAGUUCAGUUGCGCUUCUGGGUGACUUAAUGAAAAUACCAAGUUCUGAAUUGAGGAUAAAAAAUUGUAAACGUAUUGUUGACUUUUAUCAGGCACAACCACCAAAGGAGCAUAUUCCAGGUUACCAGCAAGUGAGUUCAUCAUACAAGAUUCAAAUGGCUGAAGUUGGAGGAUUGGCAAAAACAAUGGCCCAGUUAAUGACCUUGCUUGAAAAUCAACUUGUUGAGAAACUUUGGGUACUUAAAAUUCUGCAGCAUCUCUCGACUUCUGAAGUUAAUUGUACUGUAAUGAUGAAAGCACAAGCAGCCAAUGGAAUCUGUGCUCACCUCAAUGACUCAGAUUUCUCUGGACAGCUUUUAUUUCCUUCAUCAGAAACACUUUGGAACUUAUCAGAAAAAAUCUUCAAAAUAAGAAAUUGUUCAACAGCUUAGUAACUUGGAAUGUUUACUGACUUUGAAGGAAGUAUUUUAAAAUCUAUGAGAGGUUUUAGUCAUUAUGACCGUCAGCUUAGAAAUGACAUAUUAGUGAUCACUACAGUUAUAGCUCAAAAUCCUGGAGUGCCAAAGAUUGAAUGUGGCUUUACCAAGGAUUUGAUACUGUUCGCAACCUUUAAUGAAGUUAGAAGUCAAUCCCUUUGGUAAAGGACUUAAAUUUUCUAAAUCCUAUGAAGAUUUUGAGUUGAAUAAAUUACUAUUCACUAUAAUUGUGAUCUUAUGUAAAGAUUUAAAUACUAUACAGGUA
rnacentral:lncRNA from 1 species